rnacentral:rRNA from 1 species
CAAAAGGGGUGCUAUAAUGCAGUCGAGCGAAUGGACUAAGAGCGCGCUCUUAUGAAGUUAGCGGCGGACGGGUGAGUAAAAAGUGGGUAACCAGCCGAUAAGAUGGGAUAACUCCGCUUAAAAGGGGCUAAUACCGGAUAUCAUUUUGAACGAUGGAUCGAAAUUGACGGGCAGCUUCGGCUGUCACUUAUGGAUGGACCCGCGUCGCAUUAGCUAGUUGGUGAGGUAACGGCUCACCAAGG